rnacentral:rRNA from 1 species
AGAGUUUGAUCCUGGCUCAGAUUGAACGCUGGCGGCAUGCCUUACACAUGCAAGUCGAACGGUAACAGGUCUUCGGAUGCUGACGAGUGGCGAACGGGUGAGUAAUACAUCGGAACGUGCCCGAUCGUGGGGGAUAACGAGGCGAAAGCUUUGCUAAUACCGCAUACGAUCUACGGAUGAAAGCGGGGGAUCUUCGGACCUCGCGCGGACGGAGCGGCCGAUGGCAGAUUAGGUAGUUGGUGGGAUAAAAGCUUACCAAGCCGACGAUCUGUAGCUGGUCUGAGAGGAUGGUCAGCCACACUGGGACUGAGACACGGCCCAGACUCCUACGGGAGGCAGCAGUGGGGAAUUUUGGACAAUGGGCGAAAGCCUGAUCCAGCCAUGCCGCGUGCAGGAUGAAGGCCUUCGGGUUGUAAACUGCUUUUGUACGGAACGAAAAGCCUCUUUCUAAUAAAGAGGGGUCAUGACGGUACCGUAAGAAUAAGCACCGGCUAACUACGUGCCAGCAGCCGCGGUAAUACGUAGGGUGCAAGCGUUAAUCGGAAUUACUGGGCGUAAAGCGUGCGCAGGCGGUUUUGUAAGACAGAGGUGAAAUCCCCGGGCUCAACCUGGGAACUGCCUUUGUGACUGCAAGGCUGGAGUGCGGCAGAGGGGGAUGGAAUUCCGCGUGUAGCAGUGAAAUGCGUAGAUAUGCGGAGGAACACCGAUGGCGAAGGCAAUCCCCUGGGCCUGCACUGACGCUCAUGCACGAAAGCGUGGGGAGCAAACA